UACGUAGGGGGCAAGCGUUGUUCGGAAUCACUGGGCAUAAAGGGUGCGUAGGCGGCAUGACACGUCUUGGGUGAAAUCCUGCGGCCCAACCGCGGGUCUGCCUGAGAUACGGUCAAGCUAGAGUGCGUGAGGGGUGACUGGAACGCGUGGUGUAGCGGUGAAAUGCGUAGAUAUCACGCGGAAGGCCAACGGCGAAGGCAAGUCACUGGUACGCAACUGACGCUGAGUGCACGAAAGCGUGGGGAGCAAACAGG
rnacentral:rRNA from 1 species